UAAAGACAUAAAAAAGCGAAGAAGAAGCAGAAGAUUAGAGGAACACAGACAUUGCAGAGACCACAAAGAAAAAUGGAAAGCUAAGCAGAAAAGAGACCGAGAUACAAGAGAGAUGCAUCAGAUCAUGAAAUUUGUGGAGAAAUUAUCUUAGCUCAAAACGACACAGUUGCAAUAGAGAUGAUGUGAUGACUUGGCACCUGCUAAACGCACCGUAUUGCCCAAAGAAAAAACAAACAGAAAAUCUAAAAAUCCUAAAUCUAAACACACGAACCAUCCCUGAGCUCUUUAACCCACGAACCAUCCCUUAGCUCAGCAACUCAUGAAACCCAACCCUCCCUUCCUAACCCUUAUGAACCCAGACCACCAAUCGGCUCUGAUCGCAUGAACCCAACCCUCCCUUCCUAACCCUUAUGAACCCAGACCACCCAUCGGCUCUACAACCGGCUCCUUGCAUCGUGAACCCAGACGGAGUAAGUUCAUCGAUGGCUCUAGGUCAGCUCCAAGGCGGUAGCAGCGGCGGCGACGGCAAUUUCAAAUGGGCAGCAAUUUCUAAUGCAGAAGCAAAAGCCAGUGCCUAUCAAAAUGCUGAAGAUGAAAUUUGAGGAGAAGUAAUGUUCUUACUUGAGGUUAAGGAAAAAGAAAGAGCACUAUGGGAAAAAGAAAGAGCAGAGAAGUGAAUUGAAGUGAAGUGAAUUGAAUGUGGUGUUUAGGUAUACAUAAUAUUCUUGGAAUUAAAGUGAAUUGAAGCCUUGGAAUUGGAAUGAAAGGCACAAUUUUGAUUUUGUUGUAUUAUUAUUGUUAACUUCAGAAAUUAUAAGCAAGUUUUUCCCUUCU